rnacentral:hammerhead_ribozyme from 1 species
AUCCUUUUGAUGAGUCCCAAAUAAGACGAAAAACGCAUCCUGGAU